rnacentral:lncRNA from 1 species
CGGAUCUUGAUAUACCGAACAUCCUUCUUUCAUAGGUUUCAUAAUUGUAGUCUUAUCACUGAACAGUCUUCAAGUACCUUAUGAAGCCAAGCUCUGAUACCAAUUGAAAAAGAUUAGUAUGCAAUAAUGGAACAACAAAUUGUUCUAAACAUUGAUACAACAAAGAAUAAAAGAAAUUACGAUGCGAGCAAUAACACAAUAACAG